rnacentral:lncRNA from 1 species
UUAGGCUUAUCUUUUUUUUCUUUUUCUUUUUUCUUUUGCCUUUUUAACCUGUAUUGGCAAAACAGCAAAAGGCUAAAAUCAAAGCACACCAUCUUUUCAUUCUCCCAACAUGACUGCUUGCCCCAUACAUCAAUCCUUUGGAAGAACAUAAAGAAAAAAAUGCCAUCUCCCUCGCUGGCCUUCCCUAAAGAAUACAUCAUGCCCUAUCUCAACCGUACAAUGCAAAAGACAAAGUCAUCAAUCCCCUGACAAGGCUCUUGGAUGGCAGAGAGAUGACUGUCGGCAGCUGGCUGAGCAUGUCAGCAUCUUGGCAUGGAUCUCCUAUUGUCUGGUUUUUAGUGGUAAUAUGUUCCAUGUGUAAGAGAGGAAAAUCAGAUUCAGCAUGCAAAAGAGCAACCCAAGCGGGGAAGGAGCAAGGAAGACAGAGAUUUCCAGGAAUGAAUAGAAGAGCUGAAAAGAUUCAAAGCAGUUACUUCACUUUGCUUUGGGAACUCCUCUAGAAUAGUGGAUCUAAGAGAAACCUCUGAGACAGAAGAUCUUCUGAACAGUGACCAUUUCUUAGUGACCCCAAAACCCUUGGAUCCAGCUGAAGAUAAAAGGAGUGGAUAAGACUUUAUUAUAAAGUCAUCCUCCCAAAGAAGACUUUCCUCUCUCUAUCCCCUAAAGAUGACCUGUGAACUUCAUGCUACAAGUAGAGUAGAUAGAAGUCAGGGCAGAAAUUACAACUGACUAAGAAGGGUCAGGCAAUCAGCCUAUACUCUCAGGAUUUGGGGAGGAGGGUCAGCUGUUAGCCUUAGGGAUCUCCUAUUUCCUACUUCCCACUUCCCUUACUCAACAACCCUACUCUUCCUGUCUUUUUGUGUCCCCUUAGAAUAAAAGAAUUAUUUUUUAUAGAUCA